rnacentral:misc_RNA from 1 species
GUGAAUCAUCGAAUCUUUGAACGCACAUUGCGCCUUUUGGUAUUCCGAAGGGCACGUCCGUUUGAGCGUCGGCCGAAAAUCUUCCGGGCCCUGGGUUUUUCCGAAGACCACGGGCGCGGGCACCUGGCGAGGGGAGUCGCGUACCCUCCCCCGCUUAAAUGUGUCGAGAAGCCAGCGGGCACUGCCCGGAUCGCAAACGACUCGUAGAACAUUUCCUACCGUCGGCGCCGCAUCCGGCCUGGCAGGCCUUGCCUACACAACCCGAGGAGCCCUUCGCGGGUUCCCUGACGUUUGACCUCAAAUCGGACGAGGAUACCCGCUGAACUUAA